ACUUAUAGAUGGACCCGCGCCGUAUUAGCUAGUUGGUAAGGUAACGGCUUACCAAGGCGACGAUACGUAGCCGACCUGAGAGGGUGAUCGGCCACACUGGAACUGAGACACGGUCCAGACUCCUACGGGAGGCAGCAGUAGGGAAUCUUCCGCAAUGGGCGAAAGCCUGACGGAGCAACGCCGCGUGAGUGAUGAAGGGUUUCGGCUCGUAAAACUCUGUUAUUAGGGAAGAACAAAUGUGUAAGUAACUGUGCACGUCUUGACGGUACCUAAUCAGAAAGCCACGGCUAACUACGUGCCAGCAGCCGCGGUAAUACGUAGGUGGCAAGCGUUAUCCGGAAUUAUUGGGCGUAAAGCGCGCGUAGGCGGUUUCUUAAGUCUGAUGUGAAAGCCCACGGCUCAACCGUGGAGGGUCAUUGGAAACUGGGAAACUUGAGUGCAGAAGAGGAAAGUGGAAUUCCAUGUGUAGCGGUGAAAUGCGCAGAGAUAUGGAGGAACACCAGUGGCGAAGGCGACUUUCUGGUCUGUAACUGACGCUGAUGUGCGAAAGCGUGGGGAUCAAACAGGAUUAGAUACCCUGGUAGUCCACGCCGUAAACGAUGAGUGCUAAGUGUUAGGGGGUUUCCGCCCCUUAGUGCUGCAGCUAA
rnacentral:rRNA from 1 species